rnacentral:rRNA from 1 species
UACGGGGGGGGCAAGCGUUGUUCGGAAUUACUGGGCGUAAAGGGCUCGUAGGCGGCCAACUAAGUCGGACGUGAAAUCCCCAGGCUCAACCUGGGAACUGCGUCCGAUACUGGAUGGCUUGAAUUCGGGAGAGGGAUGCAGAAUUCCAGGUGUAGCGGUGAAAUGCGUAGAUAUCUGGAGGAAUACCGGUGGCGAAGGCGGCAUCCUGGACCGGCAUUGACGCUGAUGAGCGAAAGCUAGGGGAGCAAACGGG